GGGUUGUGAGGUUAAGCGACUAAGCGUACACGGUGGAUGCCCUGGCAGUCAGAGGCGAUGAAGGACGUGCUAAUCUGCGAUAAGCGUCGGUAAGGUGAUAUGAACCGUUAUAACCGGCGAUUUCCGAAUGGGGAAACCCAGUGUGUUUCGACACACUAUCAUUAACUGAAUCCAUAGGUUAAUGAGGCGAACCGGGGGAACUGAAACAUCUAAGUACCCCGAGGAAAAGAAAUCAACCGAGAUUCCCCCAGUAGCGGCGAGCGAACGGGGAGCAGCCCAGAGCCUGAAUCAGUGUGUGUGUUAGUGGAAGCGUCUGGAAAGGCGCGCGAUACAGGGUGACAGCCCCGUACACAAAAAUGCACAUAUUGUGAGCUCGAUGAGUAGGGCGGGACACGUGGUAUCCUGUCUGAAUAUGGGGGGACCAUCCUCCAAGGCUAAAUACUCCUGACUGACCGAUAGUGAACCAGUACCGUGAGGGAAAGGCGAAAAGAACCCCGGCGAGGGGAGUGAAAAAGAACCUGAAACCGUGUACGUACAAGCAGUGGGAGCACGCUUCGGCGUGUGACUGCGUACCUUUUGUAUAAUGGGUCAGCGACUUAUAUUCUGUAGCAAGGUUAACCGAAUAGGGGAGCCGAAGGGAAACCGAGUCUUAACUGGGCGUUAAGUUGCAGGGUAUAGACCCGAAACCCGGUGAUCUAGCCAUGGGCAGGUUGAAGGUUGGGUAACACUAACUGGAGGACCGAACCGACUAAUGUUGAAAAAUUAGCGGAUGACUUGUGGCUGGGGGUGAAAGGCCAAUCAAACCGGGAGAUAGCUGGUUCUCCCCGAAAGCUAUUUAGGUAGCGCCUCGUGAAUUCAUCUCCGGGGGUAGAGCACUGUUUCGGCAAGGGGGUCAUCCCGACUUACCAACCCGAUGCAAACUGCGAAUACCGGAGAAUGUUAUCACGGGAGACACACGGCGGGUGCUAACGUCCGUCGUGAAGAGGGAAACAACCCAGACCGCCAGCUAAGGUCCCAAAGUCAUGGUUAAGUGGGAAACGAUGUGGGAAGGCCCAGACAGCCAGGAUGUUGGCUUAGAAGCAGCCAUCAUUUAAAGAAAGCGUAAUAGCUCACUGGUCGAGUCGGCCUGCGCGGAAGAUGUAACGGGGCUAAACCAUGCACCGAAGCUGCGGCAGCGACACUAUGUGUUGUUGGGUAGGGGAGCGUUCUGUAAGCCUGUGAAGGUGUACUGUGAGGUAUGCUGGAGGUAUCAGAAGUGCGAAUGCUGACAUAAGUAACGAUAAAGCGGGUGAAAAGCCCGCUCGCCGGAAGACCAAGGGUUCCUGUCCAACGUUAAUCGGGGCAGGGUGAGUCGACCCCUAAGGCGAGGCCGAAAGGCGUAGUCGAUGGGAAACAGGUUAAUAUUCCUGUACUUGGUGUUACUGCGAAGGGGGGACGGAGAAGGCUAUGUUGGCCGGGCGACGGUUGUCCCGGUUUAAGCGUGUAGGCUGGUUUUCCAGGCAAAUCCGGAAAAUCAAGGCUGAGGCGUGAUGACGAGGCACUACGGUGCUGAAGCAACAAAUGCCCUGCUUCCAGGAAAAGCCUCUAAGCAUCAGGUAACAUCAAAUCGUACCCCAAACCGACACAGGUGGUCAGGUAGAGAAUACCAAGGCGCUUGAGAGAACUCGGGUGAAGGAACUAGGCAAAAUGGUGCCGUAACUUCGGGAGAAGGCACGCUGAUAUGUAGGUGAAGUCCCUCGCGGAUGGAGCUGAAAUCAGUCGAAGAUACCAGCUGGCUGCAACUGUUUAUUAAAAACACAGCACUGUGCAAACACGAAAGUGGACGUAUACGGUGUGACGCCUGCCCGGUGCCGGAAGGUUAAUUGAUGGGGUCAGCGCAAGCGAAGCUCUUGAUCGAAGCCCCGGUAAACGGCGGCCGUAACUAUAACGGUCCUAAGGUAGCGAAAUUCCUUGUCGGGUAAGUUCCGACCUGCACGAAUGGCGUAAUGAUGGCCAGGCUGUCUCCACCCGAGACUCAGUGAAAUUGAACUCGCUGUGAAGAUGCAGUGUACCCGCGGCAAGACGGAAAGACCCCGUGAACCUUUACUAUAGCUUGACACUGAACAUUGAGCCUUGAUGUGUAGGAUAGGUGGGAGGCUUUGAAGUGUGGACGCCAGUCUGCAUGGAGCCGACCUUGAAAUACCACCCUUUAAUGUUUGAUGUUCUAACGUUGACCCGUGAUCCGGGUUGCGGACAGUGUCUGGUGGGUAGUUUGACUGGGGCGGUCUCCUCCUAAAGAGUAACGGAGGAGCACGAAGGUUGGCUAAUCCUGGUCGGACAUCAGGAGGUUAGUGCAAUGGCAUAAGCCAGCUUGACUGCGAGCGUGACGGCGCGAGCAGGUGCGAAAGCAGGUCAUAGUGAUCCGGUGGUUCUGAAUGGAAGGGCCAUCGCUCAACGGAUAAAAGGUACUCCGGGGAUAACAGGCUGAUACCGCCCAAGAGUUCAUAUCGACGGCGGUGUUUGGCACCUCGAUGUCGGCUCAUCACAUCCUGGGGCUGAAGUAGGUCCCAAGGGUAUGGCUGUUCGCCAUUUAAAGUGGUACGCGAGCUGGGUUUAGAACGUCGUGAGACAGUUCGGUCCCUAUCUGCCGUGGGCGCUGGAGAACUGAGGGGGGCUGCUCCUAGUACGAGAGGACCGGAGUGGACGCAUCACUGGUGUUCGGGUUGUCAUGCCAAUGGCACUGCCCGGUAGCUAAAUGCGGAAGAGAUAAGUGCUGAAAGCAUCUAAGCACGAAACUUGCCCCGAGAUGAGUUCUCCCUGACCCUUUAAGGGUCCUGAAGGAACGUUGAAGACGACGACGUUGAUAGGCCGGGUGUGUAAGCGCAGCGAUGCGUUGAGCUAACCGGUACUAAUGAACCGUGAGGCUUAACCUUACAACGCCGAAG
rnacentral:rRNA from 1 species